rnacentral:rRNA from 1 species
UACGUAGGCAGCAAGCGUUGUUCGGAAUUACUGGGCGUAAAGAGUGUGUAGGCGGUGCUCUAAGUUCGGUGUGAAAUCUCCCGGCUCAACUGGGAGGGUGCGCCGGAAACUGGGGUGCUGGAGCGCGGGAGAGGAAAGCGGAACUCCUGGUGUAGCGGUGAAAUGCGUAGAUAUCAGGAGGAACACCGGCGGUGUAGACGGCUUUCUGGACCGUAGCUGACGCUGAGACACGAAAGCGUGGGUAGCAAACAGG